rnacentral:rRNA from 1 species
UGGGGAAUUUUGGACAAUGGGCGAAAGCCUGAUCCAGCAAUGCCGCGUGUGUGAAGAAGGCCUUCGGGUUGUAAAGCACUUUUGUCCGGAAAGAAAUCCUUGGCUCUAAUACAGUCGGGGGAUGACGGUACCGGAAGAAUAAGCACCGGCUAACUACGUGCCAGCAGCCGCGGUAAUACGUAGGGUGCAAGCGUUAAUCGGAAUUACUGGGCGUAAAGCGUGCGCAGGCGGUUUGCUAAGACCGAUGUGAAAUCCCCGGGCUCAAUCUGGGAACUGCAUUGGUGACUGGCAGGCUAGAGUAUGGCAGAGGGGGGUAGAAUUCCACGUGUAGCAGUGAAAUGCGUAGAGAUGUGGAGGAAUACCGAUGGCGAAGGCAGCCCCCUGGGCCAAUACUGACGCUCAUGCACGAAAGCGUGGGGAGCAAACAGGAUUAGAUACCCUGGUAGUCCACGCCCUAAACGAUGUCAACUAGUUGUUGGGGAUUCAUUUCCUUAGUAACGUAGCUAACGCGUGAAGUUGACCGCCUGGGGAGUACGGUCGCAAGAUUAAAACUUAAAGGAAUUGAC